GUUUCUCCUGACCUCAGUAGCGGCUUGUCCUGCUGUAGGUCACCUUGCUCAACCUGAUCUCAAAAUGUUGGGUCUGCCUCCUGCGCCUCCUUUCUUAUCUUACUCUCUCUGUGGUUACAGCUUAACCUUCCAGUUCAAAUAUAAUCCCUAUGCUAAAAAUAUCUGUCUUUUCAAGACCUACCUUAUGAAUCCUGAUAGUACACGUGCCUUUAGUCCUAGCACUGGGAUGCAAGAUCAGCAGAUCUCUAUGAAGUCAAGGUCAACCUGGUCUACAAAUCAAGCUCCUGACCAGCUAAGGCUGAGUAUUAAGAUGCCGUCUCAAAACAACAAUAACAGCCAAACAACAAUAGAAGGAGACAACUGACUUUUGCAAGGUAUCCUUGGGCCUAAACACACACACAUACAUACAUACAUACACACACACACGUUUUUAAAAAAUGUAAUAAAAAUUUUAACCUUGCAACAAUAGUUAA
rnacentral:lncRNA from 1 species